ACAGGGGGCAGACAUUUAAACCUUCAGACACACCACGGGCCUCUCGAUCAACAUAUCUCAUCAUUUAAAAAAUCACUAAUAUGUAACAUUUAACAUUAGUAACGUGUUAUUUUUCGAGUAAAAUGAUCAAGAUAGUCUCGAAUUCCUAGUGACCGGAUAGAAAGCGUGGGAAUUUUGUCAUCAAACCAUGAACAACCUCCACUUCAGUAUGGCGUACAGCUUCAUCGGUCCGUCCCGCCGGGAAAGGAGUGCCGCCAGUAUAAACACCAGGGCCAGCCUUGAGCGUGCGCAUACGAUGAGUGUGGUACGUGAAUUGAAGCGGUCGUCAAAAGCACCACCUUUACCGCGCGGGAAGGACUUCCAUGUGUUCUUCUGUUUCCAUCUUGGACUACCGGACAAAGACUGGGUCAAAGUUGUGUCGAGAGAGCUCGAAUACCUGGGCUACAAGUGUUGUGUGUUCGAAAGAGAUUUUGAAACCGGGAUUUCAAUAUCUGCCAACGUAAAGAAUGCACUGGAAAAAUCGGUCAGAACAAUCGUUGUGCUGUCCUCUUCUUACAUAAAUAAGGAAUGGCGACAGAUGGAACUGGAAUACAUGUCACACGGAACGGAAGGAAUCAGUUUUGUUCCAAUUUUGAUGGAACCAUGUGGUAUACCGCCAUUUUUGAAGUACUUUCAGUACAUCAAUGCAACAGGGGGCAAAGAAACGUGGUGGCGCCACCUGGUAGACACUCUCAGAGGCUCAGCGCCAACGCUACCGCCUAGAAAAAGAUAUCAUGUCCUGUUUGCUCAUAAUAUGGCAGACACAGCAUGGGUAUCUAAAAUUGUUAAGACUUUGGAAUCUCCAAACGUUGGAUUGAUUUGUUGUUACCCCGGUAGGGACUUCAAACCUGGUUCUCCAGUGAUCGAAAACGUUGAUCAUGCAAUCAAACGAUCCGUAAAAAUCGUGCUAGUGUUGUCACAGAAUUUUCUAGCAUUAGAGUGGAAAAAGUAUUACGAUGGACGGAUGAGAGGCAGGCGACCAAUUCCAGUCUUGGUGAACAAUUGCGAACUCCCGCCAUCUCUUGAGGAUAUCGUCUGCAUUGACGCCCAGUCCGAGAAGGACCUCUGGUGGCCAGUGUUCCUUGGUGCUCUCACAGAAGAAGAUCCUGUGAAUGAUGACUCCGUGUCAAGUAGCAGUAAAUCUGUAGUAUCCCGACAAACAGAGAAGAGAUAAGAAUGAAGAGUCACGUCUUUGGUUAGAGUGCCUGCAUCCAGUCACAGACUACAGGAGACCAGGCAUGGAUUGUGUGCUCAAG
rnacentral:misc_RNA from 1 species